AACGAACGCUGGCGGCAGGCCUGACACAUGCAAGUCGAGCGAACCGCAAGGUUAGCGGCGGACGGGUUAGUAACGCGUGGGAACGUGCCCAAAGGUACGGAAUAGCCUCGGGAAACUGAGAGUAAUACCGUAUGUGCCCGAAAGGGGAAAGAUUUAUCGCCUUUGGAUCGGCCCGCGUUGGAUUAGGUAGUUGGUGGGGUAACGGCCUACCGAGCCGACGAUCCAUAGCUGGUUUGAGAGGAUGAUCAGCAACACUGGGACUGAGACACGGCCCAGACUCCUACGGGAGGCAGCAGUGGGGAAUCUUAGACAAUGGGGGAAACCCUGAUCUAGCCAUGCCGCGUGAGCGAUGAAGGCCUUAGGGUUGUAAAGCUCUUUCACCGGGGAAGAUAAUGACGGUACCCGGAGAAGAAGCCCCGGCUAACUCCGUGCCAGCCGCCGCCGUAACAC
rnacentral:rRNA from 1 species